UGAAAAUGGGUAAAAUGUGGUCAAAACUAGGUCAGUAGGUAUAAAAAUAGAAAAACCUUGUGACCUCUCUAGAGGCCAUACUCUUCAUGAGAUCUUCAUGAAAAUUGGUGAGAAUGUUCACCUUGAUGAUAUCUAGGUCAAAUUCAAAACUGGGUCAUGUGCCUUCAAAAACUAGGUCAUUAGGUCAAAUAAUAGAAAAACCUUGUGACCUCUCUAGAAGCCAUAUUUUUCAAUGGAUCUUCAUGAAAAUUGGGUCAUGUGGGGACAGGUGAGCGAUUCAGGACCAUCAUGGUCCUCUUGUUUAGCUCACCUGAGCACGAAGUGCUCAGAGGUGAGCUUUUGUGAUCGCCCUGUGUCCGUCGUCCGUCCGUCCGUCAUCAACAAUUUGACUGUUAACACUCUAGAAGUCACAUUUUUGGCCCAAUCUUAAUGAACUUGGUCAGAAUGUUACCCUCAAUAAAAUCUUGGACGAGUUCGAUAUCGGGUCAUCUGGGGUCAAAAACUAGGUCACCAAGUCAAAUCAAAGGAAAAGCUUGUUAACACUCUAGAGGUCACAAUUUUGGCCCAAUCUUAAUGAAACUUGGUCAGAAUGUUACCCUUAAUAAAAUCUUGGACAAGUUCAGUAUUGGGUCAUCUGGGGUCAAAAACUAGGUCACCAGGUCAAAUCAAAGGAAAAGCUUGUUAACACUCUAGAGGUCACAUUUUUGGCCCAAUCUUAAUGAAACUUGGUCAGAAUGUUACCCUUAAUAAAAUAUUGGACGAGUUCGAUAUUGGGUCAUCUGGGUCAAAAACUAGGUCACCAGGUCAAAUCAAAGGAAAAGCUUGUUAACACUAGAGGUCACAAUUUUGGCCCAAUCUUAAUGAAACUUGGUCAGAAUGUUACCCUAAAUAAAAUCUUGGACGAAUUCGAUAUUGGGUCAUCUGGGAUCAAAAACUAGGUCACAAGGUCAAAUCAAAGGAAAAGCUUGUUAACACUCUAGAGGUCACAAUUUUGGCCCAAUCUUAAUGAAACUUGGUCAGAAUGUUACCCUUAAUAAAAUCUUGGACAAAUUCGAUAUUGGGUCAUCUGGGGUAAAAAACUAGGUCACCAGGUCAAAUCAAUGGAAAAGCUUGUUAACACUCUAGAGGUCACAAUUUUGGCCCAAUCUUAAUGAAACUUGAUCAGAGUGUUAUCCUUAAUAAAGUCUUGGACGAUUUCGAUAUUGGGUCAUCUGGGGUCAAAAACUAGGUCACAAGGUCAAAUCAAAGGAAAAGCUUGUUAACACUGUAGAGGCCAUAUUUAUGACUUUAUCUUCAUGAAACUGGGUCACAUGCCAUCAAAAACUAGGUCAGUAGGUCAGAUAAUAAUAACAACUUGUGACCUCUCUAGAGGCAAUAUUUUUCAUGGGAUCUGUAUGAAAGUUGGUCUGAAUGUUCAUCUUGAUAAUGUCUAGGUCAAGUUCGAAACUGGGUCACCUGGGGUCAAAAAUUAGGUCAGUAGGUCUAAAAAUAGAAAAACCUUUUGACCACUCUAGAGGCCAUAUUUUUCAAUGGAUCUUCAUGAAAAUUUGUCUGAAUGUUUACCUUGAUGAUAUCUAGAUAAAGUUUGAAACUGGGUCACGUGUGGUCAAAACUAGGUCAGUAGGUAUAAAAAUAGAAAAACCUUGUGACCUCUCUAGAGGCCAUACUCUUCAUGAAAAUUGGUGAGAGUGUUCAUCUUGAUGAUAUCUAGGUCAAGUUCAAAACUGGGUCAUGUGCCUUCAAAAACUAGGUCAUUAGGUCAAAUAAUAGAAAAACCUUGUGACCUCUCUAGAAGCCAUAUUUUUCAAUGGAUCUUCAUGAAAAUUGGGUCAUGUGGGGACAGGUGAGCGAUUCAGGACCAUCAUGGUCCUCUUGUUUAGCUCACCUGAGCACAAAGUGCGUAAAGGUGAGCUUUUGUGAUCGCCCUGUGUCCAUUGUCCGUCCGUCCGUCGUCUGUCCGUCCGAUAUUGGGUCAUCUGAGGUCAAAAACUAGGUCACCAAGGCCAAAUCAAAGGAAAAGCUUGUUAACAUUCUAGAGGUCACAAUUUUGGCCCAAUCUUAAUGAAACUUGGUCAGAGUGUUAUCCUCAAUAAAGUCUUGGACGAGUUCGAUAUUGGGUCAUCUGGGGUCAAAAACUAGGUCACCAGGACAAAUCAAAGGAAAAGCUAGUUAACACUUCAGAGGCCACAUUUAUGACAUAUCUUAAUGAAACUUGAUCAGAAUGUUAAUCUUGAUGAUCUUUAGGUCAAGUUUAAAUCUGGGUCAGGUGGGGUCAAAAACUAGGUCACUAGGUCAUAUCAAAGGAAAAGCUUGUUAACACUCUAGAGGCCACAUUUAUGACUGUAUCUUCAUGAAACUUAGUCAAAAUGUUAAACUUGAUGAUCUUUAGGUCAAGUUCGAAUCUGGGUCAUGUCGGGUCAAAAACUAGGUCACAGGGUCAAAUCAGAGGAAUAGCUAGUUAACACUUGAGGCCACAUUUAUGACCAUAUCUUAAUGAAACUUGGUCAGAAUGUUAAUCUUGAUGAUCUUUAGGUCAAUAGGUCAGGUGAGCGAUACAGGGCCUUCAUGGCCUUCUUGUUUGAAUAUUAGAAUUAUGAAGUAGAAUUCAAAUAUUUAUGUAAUGAACAAAUAUACGAAUAAUCCUUGCCAACUCUAGUUCUUACACUGAACACUGUAGUUGCAAUCUAUAUUUGUGCCAAGGUCUUUUCUGUUCUCUUUGCCAGUUAAGUCGGGACUGGACAUACAAAUAUCUCAUUUUAUCUCAGUUCAUUUUUUUUUUUUACAAUUAUAGUGAUUAAUUUUACAGUACUAUACAAUAUUAAAAAUAUCGUUGAGGGUUUAUAUACCCCACCAAACAUGUUUGUGGGGUGCUAUGUAGGAGUCAGUUUUGUCACGUCCCGUCCCGUUGCGUCUUGUCCAGUCCUGUACUGUCCAGGAAUCUAUAUCUCGGUUAUUACUAAAUGGAUUUGAUUCAAACUUAAAAUAGAUGUUCCACCUUAUUACCCACAUCAUGUGACACAAGAUGCAUAACUCUGACACCAAUUUUUCAUGAAUUGUGUCCCCUUUUACUUAGAAUUUAGGGUUUUUAAAGUUUUGAUGCAUUUCAGGGUUCAUACAGAUCUUGGAUACAAGAAUUCCAUGACUUUUCCAUGACAUUGCCUGGUUUUCCAUGACGCAAUCCAAACAUACGAAACUCGAAAUAAAUGCAAUGAUACACUCAUUUUAUUGGCAUACAAAGACUAUUUAUUUCAAACUAUUUGCAAAAUAAGACUUCAGUUGUUUUUUUUUGUUUUUUUCAAGAGUAAAGUUCAAGUUCCAACAGCUGUUUACUCUUUUUGUUUUAGUGAGUCAAGUUUAUGGUCAAGUUUAAGGUCCAACUGCUCUAAUUCCUGUUGCUUUUCUUUAGCAGUCCUUCUCAAAGAGUUAGCUUGGGUCACAAAUGCUAUCUCUCCUGUGGUUUCUGCGUUGUCACACAAUUUUUCACUUGCAGAAGUUAAAUCUUGAACCUCCUGUUCAAGCUUAGUCUUUUUCUUUUUCAAUUCUGAGAUUUCUUCCAGUUAGUGUUGUAUCGGCAACUUCUUUUCUGACUCAUAUUUUACUAUUUUUAGCUAUUUCACGCUUAAUUUCGUUUUUAAAAGUACAACAAAAAUAAACCGGAAACGGUGCAAUAGUAAACUUAACGGUCAUUUCGUACCCAACCAGAUUCGACCCCAAUAUUGACGUAAAUUACUGAUGAUAUUAAAUUAAAACAGUUGUAAUCGUUUUAUGCACAUACAGACUUAUUCCAGAUCACUUUCCUACUUUCCAUGAUGAUUUUUAAAUUUUCCAUGACAUUUCCAUGACAAAAUGCAAUAAUUCAAUUUUCCCCGACUUUUCCAGACAAAUCUCAUUUUCCAUGACUUUUCCAGACCUGUGCGACCCUGGCAUUUUCACUAUAUCUCAGUUAUUACGAAAUGCAUUUGAUUCAAACUUGAAGUAGUUGUUCCACAUCAUCACCCACAUAAUAUGACACAAGGUGCAUAACUCUUGCACCAAUAUUUCUUGAAUUAUGCACCCUUUUUGCUUAGAAUUAUACUUAUAUAGUGUUUUGAUACACUUUAUCUGUACCUCUCUGAUUAUUUGAUAUUUUUAACACAGACUCAAGCUAUUGUGCAAUAUUCAUCCACCAUUGGAGUCAUUAAUUUCAAAUGUAACCUAUUUCAAACAAGGCUUUUGGUGGGGGUAUGAAUCACAUUUGGUAAUAGCUCUAGAUGAUUAAGAAAGUAGUAGGUUUUAUAGUAAACUGUGUUUUGGCUUUUUCGGUUGUAACUAUUUGUUUAAUGAGCUGUGUUAGCCUGUAUUUUAAUCAUGUUACAACUUUCGUAUACCUUACUUACGUUCUUUGAUGUCAGACAAGUUUCUCGCAUGUAACUGAUAGAAAAUCAUAAUUUGAUUUAGCUUCAACCCCUUGUUGGACUUCCUGGUUUACAAAAAAGGUUCAUAAUAGUAGAUAUAUAACCACUGAAAAAUAUGUAAUUUUCAAAUCUUGUGUACCUUAAAUAGCUGUGGUGGGUAAAUUAUAAUUAUUAUUUGUCUCAAGAGUUAUUUUACUAAUAUUAUUUCACAAUGUACCAGUAUGUUAUUUUCCUAUGUAUGUUGUACUGUGUACAUUAUUUAAGUGUAUAAUAUGCAAGAGAACAAGCUUAAUUAGACCUCUGAAUGAACGACAGCUUAUUCACAUACAUUGUUUUCUAUUUAGGGUUAUAGACAGUUAUAAAAAGGAUAAGAAUUCUGUAUCAGAGUGUUUAAUAAUACUUUGUUUUAGCUUAAUGCUUUGCUUGAAACAUAUCCUGUAGAAAAAUAGCUUCAUAUAACUUUAUAAGCAUGAGGGGUACUAUUUUUGAACUAUUGUAAUGAUGGGUUGCAUACACACACUAGAAUUUGACUAGUCGCGGAGCAGGGCUUUAAGACAUUGAACUGUACAUGUUUAUUGAAUUGAAAUCUUGAAAAAUGAUGUUCUUAACAAAGCCGACAAGUUUUAUAAACGGCAGAAGAGGAUUUGCUAGUCAGUACCUUUCUUUCAUUUGAUUGGUCAAGCAGUCAUUACAAGUUACUGUUCAAUUUGUAUAGCUAUAUAUUUCUCAAAACUGUGAUAAUAUCUUUUAUACUCAAUAAAAUUAAAUUUCUUUG